rnacentral:rRNA from 1 species
AGAGUUUGAUCCUGGCUCAGAACGAACGCUGGCGGCGUGCUUAACACAUGCAAGUCGUACGAGAAAGUCUCUUCGGAGAUGAGUAAAGUGGCGCACGGGUGAGUAACACGUAGGUAACCUACCUCAGGGACCGGGACAACCCGCCGAAAGGAGGGCUAAUACCGGAUUAGACCACGGGGGCUUCGGCUCCAGCGGUAAAAGUUGGCCUCUGCAUGCAAGCUAACACCAAGAGAUGGGCCCGCGGACCAUUAGCUUGUUGGUGGGGUAAUGGCCCACCAAGGCUGAGAUGGAUAGCUGGUCUGAGAGGAUGAUCAGCCACACUGGGACUGAGACACGGCCCAGACUCCUACGGGAGGCAGCAGUGGGGAAUCUUGGGCAAUGGGCGCAAGCCUGACCCAGCAACGCCGCGUGGGUGAUGAAGGCCCCUCGGGUCGUAAAGCCCUGUCAGAGGGAACGAAUGUUCCCGGGGACGAAUAAUUCCGGGAAGUGACGGGACCCCUCAGAGGAAGCACCGGGCUAACUCCGUGCC